GCGGUAAUACGGAGGAUCCAAGCGUUAUCCGGAUUUAUUGGGUUUAAAGGGUGCGUAGGCGGCCUGUUAAGUCAGGGGUGAAAGACGGUAGCUCAACUAUCGCAGUGCCCUUGAUACUGAUGGGCUUGAAUGGACUAGAGGUAGGCGGAAUGAGACAAGUAGCGGUGAAAUGCAUAGAUAUGUCUCAGAACACCGAUUGCGAAGGCAGCUUACUAUGGUCUUAUUGACGCUGAGGCACGAAAGCGUGGGGAUCAAACAGGAUUAGAUACCCUGGUAGUCCACGCCCUAAACGAUGAACACUCGCUGUUGGCGAUACACAGUCAGCGGCUAAGCGAAAGCGUUAAGUGUUCCACCUGGGGAGUACGGUCGCAAGAUUGAAACUCAAAGGAAUUGACGGGGGCCCGCACAAGCGGAGGAGCAUGUGGUUUAAUUCGAUGAUACGCGAGGAACCUUACCCGGGCUUGAAAGUUAGUGAAUGAUUUAGAGAUAGAUCAGUCCGCAAGGACACGAAACUAGGUGCUGCAUGGCUGUCGUCAGCUCGUGCCGUGAGGUGUUGGGUUAAGUCCCGCAACGAGCGCAACCCCUAUGUUUAGUUGCCAGCACGUAAAGGUGGGGACUCUAAACAGACUGCCUGUGCAAACAGAGAGGAAGGAGGGGACGACGUCAAGUCAUCAUGGCCCUUACGUCCGGGGCUACACACGUGCUACAAUGGAUGGUACAGAGGGCAGCUACAUAGCAAUAUGAUGCGAAUCUCACAAAGCCAUUCACAGUUCGGAUUGGGGUCUGCAACUCGACCCCAUGAAGUUGGAUUCGCUAGUAAUCGCGUAUCAGCAAUGACGCGGUGAAUACGUUCCCGGGCCUUGUACACACCGCCCGUCAAGCCAUGGAAGUUGGGGGUACCUAAAGUAUGUAACCGCAAGGAGCGUCCUAGG
rnacentral:rRNA from 1 species